AAAUCAAAUAAAUCAUGAAAUGCUCAGAUUUUUGUGUCAUGCUUCGCGAAGUUGUUACAACUUCCAUCUGUGAUGGCAUAUACAAAUUUCUAACUACCCAAGUGGAAUGACUCUAUCAGAUAUAGAUACAACAAUUUGUUCAAGGCCGUUUUUGGCUAGCCAAAAUAUGGUACGAUCUACGACUACAGUCAUACCUGCCAUAGUGGCCCUAAUAAAUAUCUAUAGUCACAACAUUACUUAGUCAUAGGUGACCUUUACAGAUAGUGCGAUACCACUCUCGUUAGAGGGUACGCUGUCAUCCACUAUGAGUGAUCCUCUUACAUCUUUCUAGACCAGAUAGGGGAGGGAAAAAAGAUAUCCUGAAGGGUAAGGGUAAUAGAUACCCCUUAGAGAUAAAAAGUCUAGUGAGACACUUAAUGAAAAAUGCAUGUCAAUAUAGA
rnacentral:lncRNA from 1 species